UGUGGUAGAAUGAUUAUUUGUGUCCCCCCCCCCCAGCUUCUUAUGUUGAAGCCCAAUCCCCAAUAUAAUAGUAUUUGAAGGCAGAGAUUUGGGGAGGCAAAUAGGUCAUGAAGGUGGAGCCCUCAUGAAUGGGAUUAAUGUCGUCAUAAAAGAGACGCCAGAAAGCUCGUUCACCCCCUUCUGCCUUAUGAGGACACGGGGAGAAGAUAGCCAACUGUGAACUAGGAAGCCAGCCCUCACCAGACAGAAAAUCUGUCAGUGCUCUGAUCUUGGACUUCCCAGACUCCAGAACUUGAAGGUUUCUUGGUCCACGUCUUGGAUUCUAAAAUCAGAGAAGCUAAUUCAGAUGUGUGAUGAGGAGGACUCUCAUGGAUGGGGUUUGGGGACAGAUAGAAAGAAUGACAACAUUUCCACAGAAUAGUAAGAGACCUAACUUUCAUAAGGUCUAAUUGACGAUGUUCCAUUAAAAUGUUCUCAGUGGCUGUAUAUUUUGUUUGUAUCCAUAUAAAUCUUGCUCUG